UGGGGAAUUUUGCGCAAUGGGCUAACGCCUGACGCAGCAACGCCGCGUGGAGGAUGAAGGUCUUUGGAUUGUAAACUCCUGUCGACCGGGAAAAAGCAACUCGACCUAAUACGUCGGGGAGUUGAUUGUACCGGUGGAGGAAGCCCCGGCUAACUCUGUGCCAGCAGCCGCGGUAAUACAGAGGGGGCAAGCGUUAUUCGGAAUUAUUGGGCGUAAAGGGCGCGUAGGCGGCUUGGCAAGUGGAUGGUGAAAUCCCUCGGCUUAACCGAGGAACUGCCGUCCAAACUGCUUAGCUUGAGACCGGGAGAGGUGAGUGGAAUUCCCAGUGUAGCGGUGAAAUGCGUAGAUAUUGGGAGGAACACCAGUGGCGAAGGCGGCUCACUGGACCGGUACUGACGCUGAUGCGCGAAAGCGUGGGGAGCAAACGG
rnacentral:rRNA from 1 species